rnacentral:rRNA from 1 species
CCCUUAGAUGUUCUGGGCCGCACGCGCGCUACACUGAUGCAUUCAACGAGUCUAAAACCUGCUCUGAUAGGGGUGGGUAAUCUUUUGAAUGUGCAUCGUGAUUGGGAUAGAUGAUUGCAAUUUUUCAUCUUCAACGAGGAAUGCCUAGUAAACGCAAGUCAUCAGCUUGCAUUGAUUACGUCCCUGCCCUUUGUACACACCGCCAGUCGCUCCUACCGAUUGAAUGAUCCGAUGAAUAUCAUGGAUUGAGGAUGCAAGCAGGUUCGCCUGUCUUCAUCUUCGAGAAGUGAAGUAAAUCUUAUCAUUUAGAGGAAGGAGAAGUCGUAACA